AGUGAGACUGAAGAGAUGAAGAAACUGAGGCACACAGAGAGAGACCCGGACGUGGCAUUCCCAGCAGUACUCAGGCACAAAGGCUUCUGCUCUAGAACUCCCUUCUUCUUACUCCUGAAAUGUUGGAUGAUGCUAUGGGAAACAGAUGAGUUUGUCCAGGGAACCAUGUGGAGUACGAACAGAGGGAAGGCAAGAAAGGAACUCGUCAAACGGAUCGAAGAUAAGAGAUGGAUGGGCCCGGGACAUCUUCCCCAGUGGCUCUUGUCCACGGGACACCUGGCUUGUACCCACAGAAAGUUGGCUUCCAGCCAUGCUUGAGUGAGAACAGUGAGGGCCCUUGCCUUCCUACAGUGAGUACUCGAUAAAUGAUCACUGCCAUUGUCACAUAAUAAUGUGGCUAUUAUGAUCAUGGACAGAGCAAAAAUAAGUGACUAUUUUUCAAGAGUCUAUUUGGUGUAGACUUCUCCAGAGGCAGAACUGUGGAAUAAAAUUAUUUCUAGUGGUCCCUCCCAGCCCCUUGGCUCCAUAAUUCUCCCACUUUAAUAUGUGACUAGUAAUUAAGAACUAUCUUGAAAUUUUGAUUUCUGGCCCAGAGUCUAUCAUUAUACUUCCAAAUUUUAUUGAGAAAAUAUUUGAAGCCAAAGAGAGAUUUUCAAUUUGUUGACUUUAAAAGAAGCAUUAUUCAUAUUCAUCCAACAAAUAUUC
rnacentral:lncRNA from 10 species